AUUCUGAAACAAGGCCAAAAAAGAUGGGUGCUUCAGCCAAAAUAACAAAUAGUUGCUUUUGUUUAAUGCAGUCAAAUCCUGACUAAUAUACAGACACCAAACAGUACAUAUAAAGUAUAUUAGUUGUGCUAAAAAAAAUGGCUGACCAACCUGAUGACAGCGAUCACACUGGUACGGUUUUUCUCCGCUGUGCACCCUCUUGUGUCUGUCCAGGUGGUAACGUUGAAUGAACCGCAUAUCGCACGCAUCACAAGCAAAUGGCUUUUCCCCUAUAACCAAUCACAGGUAGGGAUCAGUAAUAAGCAUUUAUCAGGAGUCACCACAUAUUUCCCUGGCUACUCUAAUAUAUCACUUGCUCAAAGAUUAAAUACAUUUAUUGUUAAGAUCUCUUUUUGACAUUCCUAGCCAAUAGAGCAUAUAUAAUGUUGCUCAAAGCAAUAUAGAACCAACAUUUAAAAUUAGAAAGAGCACAAAAAGGAAGAAAUGCAGCACAGCCAAAAAAUAAAAACCUUUAAUUUCUUAACAAACACAUAAAAUUACAUAAGAACUGUACACUUUAAUGCUUCAUUGUUUUUUUCUCUCUCUUUUCAAGCAGAUGGAGCUUCAGAGGGGAGGAUCCUUGCUAAAGUCGACUGCGUGGACGGUGGCCAUACUGAGUUUACAAACACUGACAGGAAACACCACCGGAAGUACUCCCCGGGGAGAACCCUGAUUGGUCAGGCGCCUAAUCACGUGACUGACGCGGACUGACCCACAUUGGCGGCCAUAACUGUGAGGGAGUAUUGGUGCCAGUAUGGAUGUGCGAGUAAGAUACCUGCAAGAACAAAUUUUCAUAUUCUGUUGGCCUGGAACAGCUCUCAGUGUAAUCAGACAUGCAGCGUUGAACGGCCAUCCUGACCUCUGGAGAUGAGAAGAUGGCCAGUCGUGGGAGACCAUACAGGCCCUGGCUUUUGACCUCUGGGAACAGUUGGUAGCGUGCAAGGUUCAUGGCAUAAAUGUUAGAGGUGGAACCCCCGGGGCAGAAAAUACCGUCACCUUCUGUCCAGCCCACCAGCUGACGUAGUCCUCUCAGAACCUCCAUCUCCAUCAGCACAAAGACCGGAGCGACUUCAUAGGUGAAGCUGCAAUUGACACACAAAAGCAUAGUGGUGCAUAUAUUGCAGUUCCACUUGCAAUGUCGUCUUUUUUUUAUUUUUUAUUGAGAAGCACCUUGUGACUUCUUACCUAGAAAAAUGCUAUAUGAAUAAUAAUAAUAAAAAACCUUCAGUUGCUUACAAAAAUGAACAGAGUUGAAGGUGCUUCAAGAUAAUUUUUAGGUGCUUGCACAUUUACUUGAUUGUCUUAAUUUUCUGCUACUUUGUACCUUCACUCAGUUACUUUAUUGGACAUCCAUAGUAGCUUGUUGCUUUCCAGAUUCUGCUUUAAUAAUCAAUAUAUAGUAACUGAUGCAUCAUUUCAGAUAAAACAUUAUCUUCACUUUGAUCAUCGUCAUUGUCUUUCUGUGUAUAUGUAUCAAAUCUAAUCAUCCAAUUAUAUGAACAAGAAAAGCACUCAGAGGGUGCAGUACUAUGCCAAGGCUGCUCAGUCUUUGUAUCAUUUCCGGCAGAUUAAAUCUUUAUCUUUAAUUUAAAAAAUGACUUUGUGCUGAGCACAGGCGUGUAUUAUACAUGUAUGUUAUGUAUGGAUACCGAAUCACGUGUAAAUUACUCUUAUAAAGGUCUGUUGAUCAGUUCAUCAAGCCUUUGUUUUACUAGUGUUAAAAUAACCGUACCCUUCAUGCUUUUAGUUUGACGGCGUAUUUUUAAUGUCACGGGCUUUUAUUUCGGCACCAUUCGAGCGACACAGGAAGUGUUUAUCUAAGAAGCGGUUUCUUGAUGAGGAAGACGCUGUUGAAAAGUCCGAAAACAAAGACACGCUGUAGCUGUCUAGCAAAGGAUGUGUAUGAACUUAUAAGCACCUUGCUGGAAUGGAGACAAGCUCUUACUGUGUUUCCUGAAGAAAGGAGUGAAGGACAGAAAGGUGAAUCUGUGUUCAAAAUAAGGCUGACGGCUGAACGUAAAUAAAUGCUUUGUGAAACACCAGGAGCUUCACCAUUGUCUAGCUGGGGUUUGCUACAUUACGUGACCUAAAUAUGUAGCGGACGGCAGGAAUUGAUGGGACUCAGAAACACCCCACUGUUUAAUCAACUGUUCCUUGUAUCAAAGGGGUGGAUUCGUAGGAGGAUCGCAAUCAUGUGACUGGGCUGACGUGACGUUCACUUGUCAUAGUUAAAGUGACGCCGUGCCGGCCGCUAUGGGAAAUCUUUAAUAAAUCAGUGGAUCCAGACUAUAAGUCGCAUCACUGCCCAAAUCCAAUCAGGUGAUCACUGGAUCAUUUCUGACCUUCUCUGAAAAGUUAUUCCAAAUAUGUCUGUCUGUUUUUCAGUAAUGUUGUGCACGGAAGGAUUCAUGUACUCCGAUUGUCACAUAACUAAUAAAAAUAUGAAAAGGCUACAACACUCUAAGCCAAUCGGUAUAGCAAAUACCUUGGAUCCUAUUUGACUAGACCCAGCUGCUUAUUUACUUUCACUCACUUUUAGUCCUGAUCUUCAACAAAGUAUCUCUACCGUUUCUACUAAGUCAAAGAUCUGAAUGCUUCUUCCAUCAUUGCCUAACGCAGGCUCAACAGCUGUUUUUUUUUCAUUGCAUUUUAAUGGGUUCUUUAUAUACUUCACAGUUUCAUCUUACAGGUUUGUGUUGAGAGUCUCAGUGAGGAACCGUCCGGCCAAAGCGUGAUAGUCCACACCGGCAAACUGCUGGUUGAAAAAACGCGGGUGACCUGAAAUGAAGAAAAAGAAAGUCUCAUCAGGAGGGAAUGAGAGUCAGCUGGUUUAUGUGGGUUCAGCUGUUUCUGCCAGUCUCACUCGUCUUAAUGCUGUACUUGGCCACAUCUCUGACUCUCUGCAGGAGUUUUUGUUGUCCCUCUCCUCCUUCUCUCAGCUCCAGAUCCAGCAGCUCAGCCAACUCCUCAGGCUCUUUCCACUGGCAAACCUGCACAAAGGAAACACGGACUCUUCACAGACGGGAUGUCUAGAGCCAGUCUGCCGAUCUCCCGCCAAGAUCUGCCAAUGGCACGAGCCACAGACAUCAGCUGUUUCUCCUUCACUAAACUGGAUGCUGCACAAAAACAACAAAAGCAGAUAAUGAAGGCGAUGGCCUUAUAGUGUUAUUAGUGGAAUUAAUUUCAGUAGAGUGUAACUCACCAUUUUUGCAGAUGUUUUUGGCUGGAAUUAUAUCUUGUAAUUCAGCACCUUGUUUUCUCUUUCUUGAUGUUUCUAUUUUCAAUUGUAAAAAAAGAAAAUGUAUACAUUUAAGACAGACAUCUAACAGUAUUUAAUAACGGUUGCUGAAAAUACUAAAAAAAAAAACUUUGUUCUACCUGAAGACAGCGAGUUGACCUGCAGAUCAUUAAUAAAACAAAGCAUUGGGA